GGGCCAAGGAGUCAUUCUGGCUCAAACAGUGAGUGGUCCAACUUCUGGUAAUCUGUCCAUUGCAGUCAUUGUAUUGCUUAAAUUGUGGCCAUCAGCAUCAGCAGUGACUCUGAAGGAUUUGGAUUAAGAACGCACCAAUCUGGUUCAGUUUUACAGAAGGCAUGACACUUCUCAUCCUCCACGUUCAUGUGAGAAGUUAUCAAAGCAGAUCUGAUUUAAUUAGAGGUUGAAAAACUUGAAGAUGUGACAAGGGAAAGAGAGCUGAGCCUAGAAAUGUCUGAUGUGGAAGACCAGGUGGUAUGGAAAACCUUCUACUUCUGAGAGCAUCUGUCCAGAAGAAAAGGUACCCAAGGUAUUCACAGAGAAAAGAGAAUG